rnacentral:misc_RNA from 1 species
AUUUUAAAUUAUUUUUUAAUACUUAAUAACUAAUAAAUUUUUUCUCAACAGUAGUUUAACAGUAAUGCCAAACAUACCCUAAAUUUAGAAAGAUCUUGAAAAUGCUAGAACAUUUGUAAACAGGAUCCUGCACGAGCUGCUGGACAUGUGUUAAAUAAUUGCAUACAAAACUUAUUAGUUUACCAAAUCUACAAGGUGUUUAUGCAUUUACUGUAUAUGCUCCUAGUUAUAUGCCUUCUAUAACUGAGGUGUAGUUUUCUCAUUUCUUAGCUAUGCAAGCGAAUACAAUUGCAGAGGAGGAAUUUUGAACUUUUAACCUAAUGAAUGCAGGAGUCCUG